rnacentral:miRNA from 1 species
UCCUUCUAGCCCGAAGUGUCAG